UACGGAGGGUGCAAGCGUUAAUCGGAAUUACUGGGCGUAAAGCGCACGCAGGCGGUUUGUUAAGUCAGAUGUGAAAUCCCCGGGCUGAACCUGGGAAUUGCAUCUGAUACUGGGAAUCUUGAGUCCUGUAGGGGGGGGUAGAAUUCCAGGUGUAGCGGUGAAAUGCGUAGAGAUGUGGAGGAAUACCGGAGGCGAAGGCGGCCCCCUGGACAAAGACUGACGCUCAGGUGCGAAAGCGUGGGGAGCAAACAGG
rnacentral:rRNA from 1 species